AUUGAACGCUGGCGGCAGGCCUAACACAUGCAAGUCGAGCGGAUCGGCAGACGCGGGAGUAAUGCCUAUGUCUCUGCCUGGUCGUGGGGGAUAACGUCCGGAAACGGGUGCUAAUACCGCAUACUAUCAGAUGAGCCUAUACCGGAUUAGCUAGUUGUUGGGGUAAAGGACUAGCAAGGCGACGAUCCGUAACUGGGCUGAGAGGAGGAUCAGUCACACUGGAACUGAGACACGGUCCAGACGCCUACGGGAGGCAGCAGUGGGGAAUAUUGGACAAUGGGGGAAAGCCUGAUGCAGCCAUGCCGCGUGUGUGAAGAAGGCCUUCGGAUUGUAAAGCACUUUAAGUUGGGAGGCGUUACCCGCAGAAGAAGCACCGGCUAACUCCGUGCCAGCAGCCGCGGUAAUUC
rnacentral:rRNA from 1 species